rnacentral:snRNA from 1 species
CAAUUUGAGGAUUAUCUGGCUGUGACAUCUGUCACCCCAUUGAUCAUCAGGGUUGAUUCAGCUGAGCUGGCUGGCUAGGUGGGUGUCCCCUUCCUCCCUCACCACUCCAUGUGUGUCCCUUUCCAAGCUGCCCCCUUGGUUGAAGAGGACAACCUUCUCCUAUAGAGGCAUACCAUUCUUUGGUGAAGGGUAUACCAGUGGCUGUGUUCCCCUGGUAUAACAACCUCCUAAGGAAAAAAAAAUCAACAGUGAAUUUUACCAAAGAUUUAAAAAAUGUGUAAUCCCAGUACUACUUAAACUACUUGGAAAAAUU